CACGUAGGGCGCAAGCGUUGUCCGGAAUUAUUGGGCGUAAAGAGCUCGUAGGCGGUCUGUUGCGUCCGCUGUGAAAACUCGGGGCUUAACCCCGAGCCUGCAGUGGAUACGGGCAGACUAGAGGUAGGUAGGGGAGAAUGGAAUUCCCGGUGUAGCGGUGAAAUGCGCAGAUAUCGGGAGGAACACCGGUGGCGAAGGCGGUUCUCUGGGCCUUACCUGACGCUGAGACGCGAAAGCGUAGGGAGCGAACCGGG
rnacentral:rRNA from 1 species